GGACCAAUGGCGUGACAGAUAAUGCACCUGAUCUAUGAUCUGGAGAUUCCAGGUUCGAAUCCUGGUUGGCUCA